CGCUGGCGGCGUGCUUAACACAUGCAAGUCGCGUGCGCGGUUCCGUAGCAAUACGGGAUGGGCGCACGGCGCACGGGUGCGUAACACGUGGGCAAUCUGCCCUCCGAUGGGGAAUAACCCCGCGAAAGCGGGGCUAAUACCGCAUAACAUUCCUUGGACUAUGGUUUGAGGACUCAAAGCAGCAAUGCGUCGGAGGAGGAGCCCGCGCCCGAUUAGCUAGUUGGUGAGGUAACGGCUCACCAAGGCAAUGAUCGGUAGCUGGUCUGAGAGGAUGGCCAGCCACACUGGAACUGAGACACGGUCCAGACUCCUACGGGAGGCAGCAGUGGGGAAUCUUGCGCAAUGGGCGAAAGCCUGACGCAGCGACGCCGCGUGGGGGAUGAAGCUUCUCGGAGUGUAAACCCCUUUCGACUGGGACGAAUGCCCGCAAGGGAGUGACGGUACCAGUAGAAGAAGCCCCGGCUAACUACGUGCCAGCAGCCGCGGUAAGACGUAUGGGGCCAGCGUUGUUCGGAAUUACUGGGUGUAAAGGGUUCGUAUGCGGUGUGGCAAGUCGGGAGUGAAAUCUCUGGGCUUAACUCAGAGGCUGCUUCCGAAACUGCUGUGCUU
rnacentral:rRNA from 1 species